UUGGAUCAUGGUGAAUUUGAAGGUGGAAGUUUGGAAAUUUUAACAUGUUGAAAUUUUUUCUAAGUGUCAAGCCAUAUAUCUCAAUAUUCCACCUUGCUUAACUUUUUAUGUGAGCUUCAAAUGAGAAACAUGUCUUCAUCAAAGUUGUAUAUCUUUCAAAGACCUUCAAAAUGGUCACCAAAUUCAUGGAAUUUGGAUUUAGAAUGAUAGAGUUAUGCAUUUUUGAAGUUUGGAAAAAUCACUUGUUAAUGGUAUAGGUCAAAAAUGACCUAUAAUGUAUCCUCAUAUCACAUGCUCAUAAAAGUUGAUUUAGCUCUCACUCCAAACAUACAAGUUGAAGUAGACAUCUUGAAUUUAAUUUUGAAACUUGUAAAUCUUUCAUCUUAUAAAAAUUGAGCAAGUUAUGGCCUUGGGAAGUUAACUUUCAAAUUAGGGUUUAGACAAAAUGAC
rnacentral:lncRNA from 1 species